UACGGGGGGGGUAAGCGUUGUUCGGAAUUACUGGGCGUAAAGGGCUCGUAGGCGGCCAACUAAGUCAUACGUGAAAUCCCUCAGCUUAACCGGGGAACUGCGCAUGAUACUGGAUGGCUUGAGUUUGGGAGAGGGAUGCGGAAUUCCAGGUGUAGCGGUGAAAUGCGUAGAUAUCUGGAGGAACACCGGUGGCGAAGGCGGCAUCCUGGACCAACACUGACACUGAGGAGCGAAAGCCAGGGGAGCAAACGGG
rnacentral:rRNA from 1 species